GUUGGUUCUUAGAGUUAAUAUUUUGGCUGACAGAGGUGUGAUUUAACCUUUGCUCCAGGAAUGUAUUAUUUCUAAAAAGAGCAUAAAAGAGGAGCAAAUUAGAGAAGGUCCCAAAGGCAAGAUCAAGGGGCUUAGAUUUAAUUCAUCAGGUGAUUUGGAGAUGAAGAAGGACUUAAGUAGAGGGCCACAGUCAAAGAAACAGGCAAGAAAGACAACUCUUGUGGCAGAUUGGGUUUCUAUGGCAAUGAGAGACAAAAGAGGCCACUAAGGGCAAGGUUAAAAAAAUUAACAUGGGAAAUCAGUAAGACAUAGACCAAGACCUGGGAUGUAAGAUUGAGAGACAGGGAGGGAGAAGAGCACUUAGAAUCCAUUUUCAUUUUCCACAGAGGCAUAUCACGUGAGGCAUUUGCACUAGUCAUGAUCCCUUGCUGUCCUUGGGGUGUAUAAGAGAAUAGCAACAGAGUUUCAUGGCAGUUUUAGCAGAACAUAAUUAAGAAAGCAAAUCUGCAAAAAUGACAUGAUAUUAUACCUCAAGGCCUAGUGCUUUGUUUGGUUUUGUGGGAGAGGGAUUUGGUGUUCUGGCAUCUUGUAUCUUCUUUGCCCACACAUCCCCCACUAUCACAGGCAUUUAACAGCUGCCUGUUCACAGUAGAGAGCCCAGUGCAACCCCCAAUCAGGACUGUGCUGGGUUGCAAGAAACACUGAAUUCAUUCCACUCUUGGAAUUCCUGAUAGAGGGUGGAAUGUAUUCUCAGAGAACAUAGAUCCCAACUGGAUUCCUAACUAGCUGUGACUGUGUAGCCACAAGUAGUAUAACUUGCGAGAUAGGAGGGUGGAUCGGUUAGGCACAGAUUCUGGAGUCAGAUUUCUUGAAUUAUCUAUACAUCCUAGAUAAGUCACUUCACUUCUCUCCCAGUUUUUUAACUGGCAGAAAAAAAUGAGUAAAGUAGUAUAACCUGUCUCAUAAAGUUGUUAGGAGAUUAAAAAGUGCUUAGAACAAUAUCUAGCAUAGAGUAAGCACUCAAAAAAUAAUCAUGAUUUUCUGUCCUUCAUUUAACUGACCUUAAAAUUUAUUGAAUUUCUUGUGCAUCAGGUUUUGCAUCUAUAAAGUGAAGCAGUUGAACUUGGUUUUAUUUCUGGGUUACCUUAUAAUGAAUGUUCUAUUGUGUAUGGUAGAAAUGAGUAGAUCAGAAUACAACUUUAUGAAUCACAUGUUUAAUUGAGGUUUUCUUAGAACCACACUGUCUAAAAUGGGGGAGCAUUAACAAAGCUCACAGGGACUAUACUAGUUAGGUGGGGCACAUUAGCCACGUAGUGAGUUCCAAAAUUAUUCAAGACCAGUUUCUCAAUUAGGUGUACACAGGCCUUUGUGGAAACUAAAGUCUAAUUAAAAUUCAAGAUGUAGCUUGAUACAAUCAUUUCUCAGGAGAAGCUGGCUUUACUGGUAAGACCCAGGAAAAUAUGACAUGUGAGGUCCUUCUGUGCUAGAAGAUGAUGCAGGUGUUGGCAGGUGAGGCCUCAGAAUUCCAGGGCCUACUGAAGCCUGAGAUCUCUGCCCAUAGGGAAGUGGCUAGCAGAGUACAGCCCUGCCAGGACCUAAGCUCUCAAAAGUGUUGGUUAAACAUGAGUUAAUGUGUGUUUUGAAGUCCGGUAGUUAAAUUCAGUAACUCACAUGUGGUGAGUUCAACAGGGUUUGAUAUAACACUUCCACAGGCAAGGAGAGUUUAUUCACACUGUAGAAGGAAAGAAGGGAAUUCACAUCAGCUCUCACAUAUGGGAUCUGGUCAUAUGUCCACUCUUAAACAGAACAUCAAAACAGAACAAAAAUGUAAUCCCCAAAUUAGCAGCAUUUAUCAAACUAUGUAAGGGUUUUUAAUGGGCUCAGAGCUAUGUGGCACAUUCUUUUCUCCUGUAUGAUGUAUGUUUGAAUUUAUUUUGAUACCAGUAUGUUGGGUUCUGUUGUCAUUAUGCUUUAGUUAUUGGUGGAGCUUUGGUAAAAACCAGAGCUACUUCAUCUCACCGUUCUUCCUUUUUAGAUGUCCUUUGUAUGCCCUCCCAAUCUUUAAAACACUUUUUUAAACAAUAAAAUAUUGGUUUUCAUUAAAGUGUACUUAAAAAGUCUAGAUCCAAAGGUGAGGGAAAAGAUUACCCAAAGAUUACUUAGUAAUCGCACAUGAAAAAAUAUAACUUCCUUAACAAUGUCAUCACUUUCACAUCACUAAUAGUGGGAGAGUCUGACAUUAAGUGCCUCCAAUAGGAAAUUCCCCAUUUUUUAAAUUCCUCCAUUUUCUGAUCAGGCUAUAAAGGAACAAAUCUGACAGCAUGAGGAACCAAGAAUACAGAGCAUGUAGCUUUCUACAAGACAACUGG
rnacentral:lncRNA from 1 species